rnacentral:rRNA from 1 species
UACGUAGGGUGCAGGCGUUAAUCGGAAUUACUGGGCGUAAAGCGUGCGCAGGCGGUUUCUUAAGUCAGAUGUGAAAGCCCCGGGCUUAACCUGGGAACCGCGUUUGAAACUGGGAGACUAGAGUGUGGCAGAGGGGGGUGGAAUUCCACGUGUAGCAGUGAAAUGCGUAGAUAUGUGGAGGAACACCGAUGGCGAAGGCAACCCCCUGGGUUAACACUGACGCUCAUGCACGAAAGCGUGGGGAGCAAACAGG